ensembl:lncRNA HECT and RLD domain containing E3 ubiquitin protein ligase 4
CCGGCGUCACAAAGGCUCUGGAAUAUUACCGUAGCUUCGCGUUCAUUCUGCUGCUGGCGCUCUUUCAGUCUGUCAUGACAGUACAAACAUAUCUGCGUUAACGUCGAUGUAAACAUAAACUCAACGUGUGCUGGACGCGUCCACAGGAGCGUUAUAUUACAUCGCAACAGGUCUUCACCUGCGGAAGAGAGCGGCCAUACAGCCCGUCACUCGUCAUGCUGUGCUGGGGGAAUGCCUCGUACGGGCAGCUGGGUUUGGGUGGGAUUGAUGAGGAGAUAGUGCUGGAGCCGAGGAAAUGCGAGUUCUUCGAGGGCAAGCGUGUGAGGGAUGUGGGAUGCGGCAGACGUCACAGCGUCUUUCUGCUGGAGGACGGGACGGUGUACACCUGCGGCUGCAAUGACCUGGGACAGCUGGGGCAUGACAAAGCACGCAAGAAACCAGAACAGGUCGUGUCUCUGGAUGCUCAGAACAUUGUGUCCGUGUCUUGCGGUGCAGCUCAUACUCUGGCUCUGAAUGAUAAAGGACAAGUGUUUGCAUGGGGUCUGGGCUCAGACAGGCAGCUCGGACUUUCGAACAUUGAAGAUUGUAUCCGUAUACCCAGAACUGUCAAGAGUUUAUCAGAGCUUCACAUUGCCCAGGUGGCCUGUGGAUACUGCCAUUCCCUUGCUUUAGCCAGAGGAGGUCAGAUAUUCUCCUGGGGCCAAAAUAAAUAUGGACAGCUGGGGCUCGGGAUGCAGGGAGCCAGCGUCUCCUCCCCACAAGUCAUUCAGUCUUUGCAGGGCGUCCCAUUUGCCCAGAUAUCUGCAGGGGGCGCUCACAGCUUCGGGCUCACGCUGUCUGGGGCUGUUUUCGGCUGGGGACGAAACAAGUUUGGCCAGCUGGGCCUCAGUGACAAUGAUGAUCGCUAUUUCCCUGCCUUACUGAAGACUCUCAGGUCCCAACGGGUCGUUUACGUAUGCUGUGGAGAGGACCACACGGCUGUAUUAACGAAGGAGGGAGGUGUUUUUACAUUUGGAGCGGGUGGUUACGGUCAGCUGGGACACAACACCUCAAACCAUGAGGUGAACCCCAGGAAGGUGUUUGAACUCAUGGGAAAUGUGGUUGCACAUAUAGCUUGUGGUAGGCAGCACACUUUGGCGUUCAUCCCUUCAUCAGGAAAGAUUGACUCGUUUGGUCUCGGCGGUAAUGGACAGCUAGGAACCCGUUCGACCUGCAAUAGGAUAAGUCCCGCCCCUGUGAAGGGCUGCUGUCGAGCACAUACUGAUCCUGUACCUAUGGAAGUAGAGGCGGAGCAGAGUUUCUGUGUGAAGAGGAUCUACGCUGGAGGAGAUCAGAGCUUCGCUCACUACGCUUUACCUCAGGACGACAGCCCUCCAGUUGAUGUGCGGAUAACCAGACCUGAUGGACAGAUAUACACGCUCAGUGAUGACCUCAUCCAAAAAUGGCUCAAUCACGGCUAUGGGAGACUAUCACCAGAAAUCACCAAUGAGAUUGAUCUUGUGUUCUCUUCAGCAAGUUGUCUCAAUGGAAGCUUUCUGUCUGGAAGUAAUCCAGAUCACUACAGCACUAGCAGUAAGUGCUCAGGUGUAGACGUUAACACGGCUCGCCUGCUCUACCACAGACUCAUCCAGCCCGAUUACCCACAAAUCUCACAAAUUGUAGCUGCUAGUUUGGAGAAGAAUCUCCUCCCCAGAUUGAGCAGUUCUCCUCCAGACAUUGAGGCUCUGAGACUGUACCUCACGCUGCCCGAGUGUCCACUCCUCAGCAACCCCAACAACUACACAACCCUCACUAUUCCCUUCGCCAAGGCCGUCGUAAGCCUGAAGGACGCCCCCCUCAAAGUGCUCGGAAACUGGUGGUCAAAGUUUGAGCCAGCGGUCUUCCAGAGGCUGGUGGAGCUGUACAAGGAGGUGGUGGUGUAUCUGCUGCGGAUGCAGAAACUGGGAAUUCCUCUUUCUGAACAGAGGAUCUUCACCUGCUUCCUGCACACCUCACUCAAAUUCCUGGAGGUCCUCCACUCGGUUAAUGAGCGUGCUGGCCAGAUCAUCCAGUAUGACAAGUUUUAUAUUCAUGAGCUGGAUGAGCUCAUUGACAUCAGGAAUGAUUAUGUCACCUGGUUUCAGCAGCAGAUGUUCUCUGUGGUCAUGAACUCUCAGGUGACCAUGUGCCAAUACCCAUUUGUUUUUGACGCUCAGGCAAAGACGGCGCUGCUUCAGACUGAUGCUGUGAUCCAGAUGCAGAUGGCGGUGGAUCAUGCUCAGAGACAGAACUUACACUCUCUGUUCCUGUCCGGUGGAGGAGUGGAGUCAGUAAACCCCUGCCUCAUCCUCAUCGUACGCCGAGAAAACGUGGUCGGGGACUCCAUGGAGGUGCUGAGGAAGUCCAAAAACGUUGAUUACAAGAAGCCGCUCAAGGUGAUCUUCGUUGGAGAGGAGGCCGUAGACGCUGGCGGUGUGAGAAAAGAGUUCUUCCUGCUCAUCAUGAAAGAACUCUUGGACCCUAAAUAUGGGAUGUUCAGAUACUACGAGGAGUCCAGACUCAUCUGGUUCGCUCACAAGACAUUUGAAGACAUUGACUUGUUCCAUCUGAUCGGUGUGGUUUGUGGAUUGGCCAUCUAUAACCUCACUAUAGUGGAGCUGAACUUCCCACUAGCGCUGUACAAGAAACUCCUGAAGAAAACUCCCACUCUAGAGGACCUGAAGGAGCUCAUGCCUGACGUAGGGAGGAGUCUUCGGCAGCUGCUAGAUUAUACGGAGGAUGAUCUGGAAGACACUUUCUGCCUGAAUUUCACAGUAACAGAGGAACACCACAGAGCCACAGAGGUAUUGGAGCUGGUUCCCAACGGGACAGACAUCAGCGUCAACAAGUCCAACAGGCAGGAGUUCGUCAAUGCCUACGUCGAUUAUAUAUUCAACACCUCCGUGGCUCCUCAGUUCAGUGCUUUCUACGCAGGAUUUCACAAAGUGUGUGGAGGGAAAGUUCUAGAGCUUUUCCAGCCAAGUGAACUGCAGGCCAUGGUCAUAGGAAACACCAAUUAUGACUGGAAGGAGUUAGAGAAGAGCACAGAGUAUAAGGGCGAGUACUGGGCCAAUCACCCCACCAUCAAGAUAUUCUGGGAAGUGUUUCACGAGCUAAACCCAAAGCCCCUCCUGUUCCUCACGGGCAGCGACCGAAUCCCCAUCCUGGGCAUGAAGAGCCUGGUGUUAGUGAUCCAGCCCACCUGUGGCGGAAAGCACUAUUUCCCUGUAGCACACACAUGCUUCAACCUGCUGGAUCUGCCCAAGUACACUAAUAAGGAGACACUCAAAGAGAAACUGCUACACGCCAUCGAACACACCCAGGGCUUCAACCUCGUCUGA